rnacentral:rRNA from 1 species
AGAAUCAACGCUGGCGGCGUGCCUAACACAUGCAAGUCGCACCGAGAAAGGGGAGCAAUCCCUGAGUAAAGUGGCGCACGGGUGAGUAACACGUGAAUCAUCUACCUCCGAGUGGGGAAUAACCUAGAGAAAUCUGGGCUAAUACCGCAUAACACUUACGAGUCAAAGCAGCAAUGCGCUUGGAGAGGAGUUCGCGGCCGAUUAGUUAGUUGGCGGGGUAAUGGCCCACCAAGACGAUGAUCGGUA